rnacentral:rRNA from 1 species
CCUACGGGAGGCAGCAGUAGGGAAUAUUGCUCAAUGGGGGAAAUCCUGAAGCAGCAACGCCGCGUGGAGGAUGACGGCUUUAGGAUUGUAAACCUCUUUUGUUAGAGAAGUUUAUGACGGUAUCUAACGAAUAAGCACCGGCUAACUCCGUGCCAGCAGCCGUGGUAAUACGGAGGGUGCAAGCGUUACUCGGAAUCACUGGGCGUAAAGAGUGCGUAGGCGGGGUAAUAAGUCAGUGGUGAAAUCCUGUAGCUUAACUACGGAACUGCAUUUGAAACUGUUACUCUGGAGUGUGGGAGAGGUAGGUGGAAUUCUUGGUGUAGGGGUAAAAUCCGUAGAGAUCAAGAAGAAUACUCAUUGCGAAGGCGACCUGCUGGAACAUUACUGACGCUGAUGCACGAAAGCGUGGGGAGCGAACAGGAUUAGAUACCCGUGUAGUC